AUUGAACGCUGGCGGCAGGCCUAACACAUGCAAGUCGAGCGAGCGGCGGACGGGUGAGUAAUGUAUGGGACUCUGCCCGAUGGCGGGGGAUAACUACUGGAAACGGUAGCUAAUACCGCAUACCAUCAGAUGAACCCAUAUGGGAUGAGCUAGUAGGUAAGGUAACGGCUCACCUAGGCGACGAUCCCUAGCUGGUCUGAGAGGAUGAUCAGCCACACUGGAACUGAGACACGGGCCAGACUCCUACGGGAGGCAGCAGUGGGGAAUAUUGCACAAUGGGCGCAAGCCUGAUGCAGCCAUGCCGCGUGUAUGAAGAAGGCCUUCGGGUUGUAAAGUACUUUCAGCCGGGAGGCGUUACCGACAGAAGAAGCACCGGCUAACUCCGUGCCAGCAGCCGCGGUAAUAC
rnacentral:rRNA from 1 species